rnacentral:lncRNA from 1 species
AGAUGAAUCUAGGAUUCCUUCAUUACCGCAGUCUACAGUCCUUAGACUCGACUCUUUCCCUUGUUGAAAAUAAGACAUUAAUCCUCAUAGUCUUUGAGUAUUUCUACUUUGUCCUGCCGUGUUUCUAACUUAUUAACUCAGGAAAGUUGUUACAAUUCAGUGGGUCUCAUGUUACUUCACUUUAAAAAUAAAGGUGUUUAAGUCAGAUGACUUCUACAUUUCUGAGUGCAAGUCUGGAAAUACCUAGACGAUACUGAGUAUUGUUUCUGUGUUCACUUUCUGUGCAUUCUUGAAGUAACUCAGUUCUGUGUGUUUGGCUCUGGAAAAUGAAAAGACACUCAUUAAUUCAGGUUGGACAGAAUGUUUAGACAUUAUCAGUCAAAUAGUAGACUGAUAAUAUUUAGAGUGGCCAGUUCUUUUUUCCUUGCCUUGGAUUUUUAAUUGUUAAUUUCUAAUACACACUGUUUUUUUUUAUUUUUAUUUUUUAAAUUUUUUAAAGUUUUAUUGAAGUGUAGUGGAUUUACAAUGUUAUGAUAAUUUCUGCUGUACAGCAAAGUGGCAUGUGCACACAUCCCUUCUCUUUCAGAUUCAUUGCCCAUGUAGAUUGUCACAGAAUAUUGGGUAGAGUUCUCUGUGUUAUACAGCAGGUCCCCGUUGGCCAUAUACCUCAGGGUGCCUGUGACAAUUCCAAACUCCCAGUCCAUCCCUCCCCAACUUGUCCUCUUUGGUAACCAUAAAUUUUUUUCAAAAUCUGUGGGUCUAUUUCUGUUCUGCAAAUAAGUUCAUUUGUAUCCUUUUUUAAGAUCAUAUAACAUGUAAGUGAUAUCAUAAGACGUUUGUCUUGCACCAUCUAAUUUCACCUAGUAUGAUAAUCUCUAGGUCCAACCAGAUUGCUGCAAAUGGUAUUGUUUCAUUCGUUUUCAUGGCUGAGUAAUACUCCGUUGUGUGUGGUGUGUGUGUGUAUCACAUCUUCUUUAUCCAUUCUUCUGUUAAUGGACAUUUAGGUUGCUUCCAUGUCUUGACUAUUGUGAAUAGUGCUGGGGUGCAUGUUUCUUUUUGAACUAUGGUUUUUGCUGGAUAGAUGCCCUUGAGUGGGAUUGCUGGGUCAUGGGGUAGUUCUGUAUUUCUCCAUACUGUUUUGACAACCUCCAGGAGACCUCCCCUUCCAAUGCCCUGACUCCACAGUGAGCCACAGCCACCUCCUGCUUUCCUAGGAGACCCUCUAAGAUCCACAGGGUAAGUCUGACCCAGAUUCAUAGAGUCCCUGCUUUGCCCUGGGACCCAGUGCACAUGAAACCCUGUGUGUACCUUCUAAGAGUAGAGUCUCUUUUUCCCCCAGUCCUGUGGAGCUCCUGCACACAAGCCUUACUGGCUUCAAUGCUAAACACUCUGGGGGCUGCACCUCUCUAUGCCUGACCCCCAGGCUGGGGAACCUGACAUGGGGUUCAGAACUCUCAAUGCUGGGAGAUAGUUAUUUUCCAGUCUCUGGGUCGCCCACAGGCGGUUAUGGGAAAGUACCUCUCCUAUCAUCAUCUUGAUGUGGCUUCUUUAUCGUUGGGUGUAGGAUAUCUUUUUUGGUAGUUUCCAGUUUAUUUCGUUGAUGGUCGUUCAGCAGUUAGUUGUAAUUUUGGUGUUUUUGUGAGAAGACGAGUGUAAGUCCUUCUACUCUGCCAUCUUUUCUCUCCCUCUGAGAGUUAUCUUGCACUGAAUUUUUAAGACUCCUCCCUCUGUUUUUCCCUUUGAACAGUACCAUCUGCUGCUUGGUUCCUUUGCACUGACUAAGGCCAGCAUGCUCAUCUAGGAGAAUGCUCCAAACAGUCUAAGGGUAUGAGGAGAGGAAUCUCAGAAGCUGCUUCUGUUUCUUUAUUUUAAUGGAUGCUUGGGUUGUAGAGCUAUUUUAUUCCAGUCUGAUGGUGUUGCAUGACUCAGUGUAGAUGAUUCCCACAGGAAGGUCUGAUUUUUGUUCUUUGACUCAACACUAAAAAUAGAGACCUCAACUCAUUCUGGACUCAGCUGUCAUGUGCCAUCAAAACCUGGGCAUGGUUGCUUGUAGCUUUGAAAAAAUCACUGCAUUCUUUGGGUUAAAAUAAGAAACAAACAAAUAUACAGGUAGGAGCCUGAAAUGUUGUUUCACCAGGUACUGUUUUUAUUCUGGGUGAAUUCUGCAGCUGCAGGUAGUUUUUCUUUCAAAUUUAUUUAAAUGCAAUUCUUUCCAAAGCUAAGUAUAAGUAGAUAUGGCCAAGAAAAGAGAUAUUCUGACUCAUCAUGUAGUCUUGUUCAGUAUGCCUUCUGAAUAACAAUGAAUGCUGAUGGACCUUGACUUUUAAGAGUCUCAUUUUGGGGAGGACAAAUCAUCUGUUACCAUUCUCACUUCAGGAGUAAAGCAGGUUGAGGCUGAAUGAAUACUGCCUCAAGUCACAGAACGAAUGAGUCAGUGGACUAGAACUAGAACUAGGAUUUAUAUUAUUAGCCACGUCAAGUCUUUCUACUACUGGAACCCUAUGCCCCCUCCCACCAACAAAAAUACAUCAAAAUGUUAGGCAGAGUCUAUCCUGGCUUCUUCAUGAGUCCUGCCCUUGGGGCCAUCACACACAUUUGUUGUCUCUUGUCCUUAAUGUUUGUGAUGCAAAGUUGAGCCCCUCCUUUCUUAGUUCUCUGUAGCCUUCCCAUAGUUAUCUGUCCUGGCUAGACUGCUUCUUGUAUAAACACCUCCUUUAACACUGGACACAGAGCUGGGUCCUGGGAGGAAAAUAAAGUUUUCAGGUCAGAAAAAAAAGACUCUCCCAGACCCACUUUAAGGCUUGUUCUUAUUAUGCAGGUGGAUUUCUAUGUGCAACUCCAAUUAUUCAUAGAUUCAUAGAUCCACCCUUUAGCAGCAGAAAGAGAGAAAGGAGUUAUUAUACCUAAAUCAAGUCCUUUGGUACCAUGGUUGAUAAAAUUCUCAAACAUUUCACUGGGAAAGAUCUCCCAGUGUUUCUGAACCAAUCUGUUACGUAAUUGUCUGGCUAGGACAUUCAGUCAAAUUGCUGCAGGAACUGGUUUGACUCUGAGUUGGUAAAUUCAGUCAUGCAAUUCAUAGUAAUGGUUAAUUAAAUGUUAACAUAUUCAAAUUAGGUUUAUAUGCUCCCAUAACUAAUGUUCAUCCCAAAUCUCCCUUUGUUUAGUUCCAGCUUAUGUUCUGGGAAGUUACUAGUAAUGACACAAAGCCCUAAUACAAAGCAUGCUGUAGACAUUUCAUUAAGACUUAGACCAAUCUGCCAAGACAAAUAGGGAGCUGGUGUAUUUCAUUUCCUUUGAGCACUGGGUGGAGGAGGGCAGCCUUAGAGACUGUGCAGUUACAUGCGUAGGAGCAGAUUCAUUCAAGAGCCAUUAUGUCCACAAUAUUCUGCUAAUUAGUGUCAAUACUCCCUCAUCAGAGGUCAUGAGUGUGACACUGAAAAUGACCUUGGUGGACUCAGGACAUUUUUCCAAAUCCGUGCCUUCAUUUUAUGUACUUUGAGUCUGCUGGUUGUCAGUGUAUCAGCUCCAAAUCCCCCGUUCUUUGCCCUGCUUUGUGCUACUGGAGAUGGACCCUGGACCAGUUCUCCUUUGACAGCUGGUGCAGUGAUAGUCCUCAACAUUAGAGAAUAUGGGAGAGACACUGCAAGAGGAAGAGGCUUCUCUUUUUCUUUCUGGGGUUGUAUUUUUCUUGCUCUUACGGCCUGGCACGUGGCUUUCCUAUAAGGGGGCACAGGAGAGCCAGAGGUUCACACCCUCCAGUGAUUUCUGUUACUUCCUGUUGAGUUCCUUGGGCACUUUCCUGGUGGCCAUUCCUGCCCUGUGGCGUCUCAGGAAUCUAGAGAUUCUCCACCAUCCAGGGGGCUAUAGGUGCACAAACAUAUCUGCCAUGGGGAGGGUCUCAGCCAUGGAGUAGGGUCUUUUCCAUGUUUGUUCCUUCCUUGGGUACCCUCUCUGCACCUGGGAGGCAGAGCCUGCACACUG